rnacentral:lncRNA from 1 species
ACCAACAACAACAACAACAACAACAACUACCCAGUAUAUUCCCACCAGGUGGGGUCUGGGGAGGGUAAUAUGUAGACGAGCCUUACCCCUAGCCGAAAGGGCAGAGAGGCUGUUUCCAAUCGACCCUCGGCGCAUAGGAUAAAAUAAAAAGCAGCAUUAAAACAAAAACAAAGACAUAAUUAGAAACAAAAACAAAACAAAACAAAACAAUAAAGCAUUAGUAAAUC